rnacentral:rRNA from 1 species
AGUUCAACGGCCAUGGUAUCCUGACCAUGCGAAGGUAGCAUAAUCACUUGUUCUUUAAAUGGGGACUUGUAUCAACGGCAUCACGAGGGUUUUACUGUCUCCUCUUUCUAAUCAGUGAAACUAAUCUCCCCGUGAAGAAGCGGGGAUAUUUAUAUAAGACGAGAAGACCCCAUGGAGCUUCAAACCCAAUUACACCCCCUCACCCCCCCAUAACCACCUAUUCCCCUAAGGCCGCGUGUAAUUAGUUUUCGGUUGGGGCGACCACGGAGUAUAAUCAAACCUCCAUGAUGAACGGGAUUACCCUUAUCUGAGAGUAACAGCUCUAAGAAAUAGAACACUAACAUAAAAUGAUCCAUUAUAUGAUCAACGAACCAAGUUACCCUGGGGAUAACAGCGCAAUCCAUUUCAAGAGCCCCUAUCGACAAAUGGGUUUACGACCUCGAUGUUGGAUCAGGAUAUCCUAGUGGUGCAGCAGCUACUAACGGUUCGUUUGUUCAACGAUUAAAAUCCU